ensembl:lncRNA
GGGGAAAACAGGGGUGAGAAAAGGUCUUGACAAUGUCGGAGCAGCCCGUGUCACUCUGUCAGGACAAAUAUUUACAUUUUUUGUUGUAAAGUUACCCUUGUUUUGAAAACGUUUGUUUUAUUUGCACUCCGUUACCACACUUUAAAAAAACCACAAGGAAAACAAAGUGAUUUUGCAGAAAUACAAUGUUCUGGCCGAAGCAGAAUGACUUUUUUUUUUUUUUUCCCUGUGAAUUUUCCCUGGGAAAGUUGACAUUUCGGGGCUUUUUCCAAAGCAGAAAUCUCAGCGCAGUCUCCAGCCCCCAUUUGCCCGGCUGUGUCUUGUAGGAAUAAUGGCAAUUCUCGGGGGGUUAAUGAAGGCUUUCAAAAGAGUUUAAUCAAUGCUCGGCGGCCGUCAGGCAGUUUCACUGCCGGUUUCUCCGGCCCGGAGCCAUCUGUACCGCUUCCUCCCAGCGUGCUCAAACCCACCCAGAGCAUAUGCUGCUCAUGGCUGGGUGGCAUUUCGGUAAUUCAUUAAAAUAGCUCACCAGCCAUCAAGGAGGGAGCGCUGCAGGUAGGACCCGGAGAGCACGCAGGCAUUGUUUAAAUAGGAAAUCUUUCCUGAUGGCAAAUCCGUGCCGAAAGCAGCGGGUUUGGGGAGCGCGUGUGCAUCCCCCACGCAGGUGAUGCGCCGUCCCGCCAGGUGUGGGAGUUGCAGCAAUUAUUUUCCUUGCCUGGGGGAGGAUGGGAGCAAUUUGGGGAUUUGGGUAAUUAGCGCAAUUGGGGCUCGGAACAGACAGUUAAUAAUUUGGGUGAAAUGGAGAUAUGAAUGCCAUGGUGACACAGGAAAUGGCUCCGGUGGGAUCUCGUCACGGCGAAGUCUGAGUCCCAGCCUGGGGUCUUAGGCUGAGAGGUGGCUUCCCCCGUCCUGACCCCGGCACGGGAUGCAGCAAGGAGGGUGUGAGUGCUCUGCAGCCCCAAAUUCAUCCGUCCCAAGGCAGAGGCUCCCUCAGGCUCCUGCACACCCAACCUCCUCCCACCCAAAGAUCUCUCCAGCUGUUACUGAAGCAUGUUUCGAUGCACACGUGGCCCAAGACACUGGGGUUGGGAUGGAUCCUGCACAGGGAAAAGGAUUGUGGAAAGCAACAGCAGCCCGUGAAGUAUUUGGCAAACAGCUCCUUUUGUGUUGCGCGUAGGUAGCUCUGGCUGUAUCUGUGAGCUAUAUAUAGAUAAAUACAUAUAUAUCUCCCUCCAUGUAAUGUUUCCACUUUUUUUUUGCAGACUACCUGCAAAACACAGACACUAUCACAAGCCGUAAAUGCAGGAAUCAUACCGCUGACUGACAGGCAGUUCUGUAAAGCUUUUUGGUACAAAACUUUGUAUUUUCCAGGGAAAAACGAUGGGUCCUGUCUGUCCCACCUGGCAGGAGGGGAUGUGACCCCUGCAUUUUGGGAUAUUGCUGCACUAAGAGGAAGGUCCUGGGGUUGUAGAUGCAUGCUGGUAAUGCGGGAUGGAUUUUUCAGGAGGUAUUUGGGGAAUUCUAGGAAGCACGAAGCAUGGAAACUUGCUGGGAGAAGGGGGCAGGUAUCAGAGGGGUGUGGGGUCGCUUUGACUUCUACUCUCAGAAUGAAAAAUAAGGCAAAAACUUCAGGAAAGGGAGCUACACCAAACACAACUUUUAAUUUUUACUAUGUUGGAUCCCUACCCUUCCUAAACAGAGC